rnacentral:rRNA from 1 species
CAGUAGCCACGGUAAUACGGAGGGUGCAAGCGUUAAUCGGAAUUACUGGGCGUAAAGCGUGCGUAGGCGGUUCGUUAAGUCUGUUGUGAAAGCCCCGGGCUCAACCUGGGAAUGGCAAUGGAUACUGGCGGGCUAGAGUGUGUCAGAGGAUGGUGGAAUUCCCGGUGUAGCGGUGAAAUGCGUAGAGAUCGGGAGGAACAUCAGUGGCGAAGGCGGCCAUCUGGGACAACACUGACGCUGAGGCACGCAAGCGUGGGGAGCAAACAGGAUUAGAUACCCGUGUAGUCCCUGUCUCUUAUAC